ensembl:lncRNA
GUGAUUCUGCUCAGGUUCUCAUCACCCCCAGAGUCUAACUACAUGACUUUGAUGAAUCUGAUCCCUUAUGAAUGAUCAGCAUGUAGGUUAAAGUGACUGUCUGUUUGUUUCCCUUCCAGGAUUUCCAGUUUCCACUGUGAUCACUGUGUCUGUAAUUCUGCUGCUGCUUCAGAUUGGAAUCAUAUUCCUCUUUGUGAUUCUACAAAAGAAACACAAGAUUAGGGCAGGUAGACAUUCUGUCCAAGACUCACAAAAGGACCAAGUGUUUCCUCUUGAUGUCUGUGAGUACGAGGAAAUUAAAGACACCAGACGACUUUCUGCCUCAGACGCUGGAUCUUCUUCAGUUUAUGCUACUGUUCAACUACCCACAAUCCCCUCUGAUCCUUCUCAAACUGUUUAUGCCAACGUGGUGUUACACACAAGUUCCUGUGAGUCCAUUUAUUCUACGCCUCAACUUCCCAUAAACCCUCCUGAUCAGGACAUCUACUCCACAGCUCAGAUACCCACACGUCUCCCUGACUCUUCAGUUGGCUGAGAAAUCUGAUGAAGCGACAGUUUUCACUUAACACCACCAGCUCUAAUGAUACAGAUCCAAAGAUGAUCUUGUUUGACUAUGGUUCAGGCAGUCGUGUUCAUUCAUGAGGCUAGUUUCUCAUCAUUACGGCUCCAAGUACAUGGCACUGGAACUCUACUGCUUUGCUUAGACAUUCACUCAUUCAUUCAUUCAUUCAUUCAUUCAUUCUUCUUCUUCUCCUUCUUCUGUUUUUCAAACAAUAUUCAAAGCAAUGACUGUAAUAUGGACUGUAACAUAUUUUUUUAGAUAAUUUUCAUGAUUUGCCAAGCCUAAGGAUUUUGUCUGCUCCUACAAAAAAUUCCCCACCUCUGUUAGCUCCAGCUAAUAGCUGUGUUGUAUCUGUCAAUCACGUGUGCUGGUUAGACUAUUAGUCCACUCUCUAUCAGGACAGUCUGGGAAGGCCUGCUUGAUAAAUUCACCUCAUGUUUUAUCUCAUAUCUAACACACACACUGAUUCUGCUCGGUGUGCUCAUAUCUGCUGUUCUCCAGCUCGCUAUUUCAUAGUAGAGACUGCUAAAGUAAAGUAUGCUGCUUAAUCAGUUACAGGAGCACAGACAUAUGUGUUUUCCGUUUAUAUCUGAUAACAGAUAGUGUAGAUACUGUUGUUGCUAAGUAACAGAGAAUGUACUAAGUUAUUAUCAGAGCUCAUUAAUUAAACCAGUAAAUAAUAAUAUUAUUCAGUAUAUCGUAUGUCCAUAAUACUUUCACUAAAGGCUCCUCUAGAUGGCAGCAUUGAUCCUCAGACCGAUAGAGUUCACCUCUAUAAAGACCCAUGUUGUCUCACACAGAGUAAAAAAAAAAAAAAAAGAAGAAGACGACAUUUUCAACACCCAGAGCAUCCUUGUAGCUGAAUAUCAUGCAAAUACAAAAAUGCUGAGCAACUUUACUGCAGUGAUAAACACUUCUACUGGCUGUAUGUUUAAUAUUCACACUUAUAUGUUGUUUUCCUGAGGAAGAAAUAAUGUAAUAUUUGUUUCACAUAUAAGUAUA